UGCAAGUCGAACGAUGAUCCGGUGCUUGCGCCGGGGAUUAGUGGCGAACGGGUGAGUAACACGUGAGUAACCUGCCCUUGACUCUGGGAUAAGCCUGGGAAACUGGGUCUAAUACCGGAUAUGACUGCUCCGCGCAUGCGGUGGUGGUGGAAAGCUUUUGCGGUUUUGGAUGGACUCGCGGCCUAUCAGCUUGUUGGUGGGGUAAUGGCCUACCAAGGCGACGACGGGUAGCCGGCCUGAGAGGGUGACCGGCCACACUGGGACUGAGACACGGCCCAGACUCCUACGGGAGGCAGCAGUGGGGAAUAUUGCACAAUGGGCGGAAGCCUGAUGCAGCGACGCCGCGUGAGGGAUGACGGCCUUCGGGUUGUAAACCUCUUUCAGUAGGGAAGAAGCGAAAGUGACGGUACCUGCAGAAGAAGCGCCGGCUAACUACGUGCCAGCAGCCGCGGUAAUACGUAGGGCGCAAGCGUUAUCCGGAAUUAUUGGGCGUAAAGAGCUCGUAGGCGGUUUGUCGCGUCUGCUGUGAAAGACCGGGGCUCAACUCCGGUUCUGCAGUGGGUACGGGCAGACUAGAGUGAUGUAGGGGAGACUGGAAUUCCUGGUGUAGCGGUGAAAUGCGCAGAUAUCAGGAGGAACACCGAUGGCGAAGGCAGGUCUCUGGGCAUUAACUGACGCUGAGGAGCGAAAGCAUGGGGAGCGAACAGGAUUAGAUACCCUGGUAGUCCAUGCCGUAAACGUUGGGCACUAGGUGUGGGGGACAUUCCACGUUUUCCGCGCCGUAGCUAACGCAUUAAGUGCCCCGCCUGGGGAGUACGGCCGCAAGGCUAAAACUCAAAGGAAUUGACGGGGGCCCGCACAAGCGGCGGAGCAUGCGGAUUAAUUCGAUGCAACGCGAAGAACCUUACCAAGGCUUGACAUGAACCGGUAACGCCUGGAAACAGGUGCCCCGCUUGCGGUCGGUUUACAGGUGGUGCAUGGUUGUCGUCAGCUCGUGUCGUGAGAUGUUGGGUUAAGUCCCGCAACGAGCGCAACCCUCGUUCUAUGUUGCCAGCGGUUCGGCCGGGGACUCAUAGGAAACUGCCGGGGUCAACUCGAAGGAAGGUGGGGACGACGUCAAAUCAUCAUGCCCCUUA
rnacentral:rRNA from 1 species